UGAGGAAUCUUCCACAAUGGGGGCAACCCUGAUGGAGCAACGCCGCGUGCAGGAUGAAGGCCUUCGGGUUGUAAACUGCUUUUAUAAGUGAAGAAUAUGACGGUAACUUAUGAAUAAGGAUCGGCUAACUACGUGCCAGCAGCCGCGGUCAUACGUAGGAUCCGAGCGUUAUCCGGAGUGACUGGGCGUAAAGAGUUGCGUAGGUGGUUUGUAAAGCGAAUAGUGAAAUCUGGCGGCUCAACCGUACAGGCUAUUAUUCGAACUCACAAACUCGAGAAUGGUAGAGGUAACUGGAAUUUCUUGUGUAGGAGUGAAAUCCGUAGAUAUAAGAAGGAACACCAAUGGCGUAGGCAGGUUACUGGACCAUUUCUGACACUGAGGCACGAAAGCGUGGGGAGCGAAC
rnacentral:rRNA from 1 species